GGGCGCAUAGUUUAAUGGUAAAACGUUGCAUUCACAUUGCAAAGACUCUUGGUCCGAUUCCAAGUGCGCCCA
rnacentral:tRNA from 1 species